UACGGGGGAUGCAAGUGUUAUCCGGAAUUAUUGGGCGUAAAGCGUCUGUAGGUUGUUUGAUAAGUCUAUUGUUAAAGCGUGAAACUUAACUUCAUAGAUGCAGUAGAAACUAUUUAACUAGAGUAUAAUUGAGGUAGAAGGAAUUUCCAGUGGAGUGGUGAAAUGCGUAGAUAUUGGAAAGAACACCAAUUGCGAAGGCAUUCUAUUAAAUUAUUCUGACACUCAGAGACGAAAGCUAGGGUAGCAAAUGGGAUUAGAUACCCCAGUAGUCCUAGCCGUAAACGAUGGAUACUAUAUAUUGGACGCUCGCCGUGGUAUUAAAGCUAACGCGUUAAGUAUCCCGCCUGGGGAGUAUGCUCGCAAGGGUG
rnacentral:rRNA from 1 species